AGAGAGAGACAUGCGCGCAUAUCAAUAAGCGGAGGAAAAGAAACUAACAAGGAUUCCCCUAGUAACGGCGAGUGAAGCGGGAAGAGCUCAAAUUUGAAAUCUUAAAGGGUUUCCCUUUACGAAUUGUAGUUUAAAGAAGUGUUUUCUGUUGGAGUUUCGGUAAAAGUUCUUUGGAAUAGGACAUCAUAGAGGGUGAGAAUCCCGUAUUUGACCGUUACUUUCCAGCUGUGUGAUACACUUUCAAAGAGUCGGAUUGUUUGGGAAUGCAGUCCAAGAUGGGUGGUAAAUUUCAUCUAAAGCUAAAUAUUGGCGAGAGACUGAUAGCGAACAAGUACCGUGAGGGAAAGAUGAAAAGAGCUUUGAAAAGAGAGUUAAACAGUACGUGAAAUUGUCAAAAGGGAAGCGUUUGACACCAGUGUUGUUUUUCCGAAAAUCAAUUACGAAUGUUUUGUUUCUGAGGAGUGAUGACUUCAUCGGCUGUCCUUCUCUCUUCACGAAACUUUUGUAAUGCACUUUUCGGUUAACAAGUCAACAUCAAUUUCUUUUGUUGUAAAAGGGUAUGAGGAAGGUGGCUUUCUUUUCGGAGAAAGUGUUUAUAGCCUUGUGCCUCUGCAAUCGGAGAGAUUGAGGUCUGCAGCGUAGAUCCUUCGGGGUUAGAUACAUUUGUGCUAAGUUAUAGCUUUUCAUAGACAACUUGUUGACUAUGUUUAGUCUUGUAGCUUACUCGCUUAUGCUAUUUUACCUACGCUUAGGAUGUUGAUAGUCACAGCGUGUAC
rnacentral:rRNA from 1 species